AGUUUUAUUCAUUUCCGCUUUAAAGGCCUUUAUAAUCUCUAUUGGAUUUAAGGUUAUUUUCUCGUGCUUUAACUUUGUUAACAUAUAUGGGGCUUGCUGGAGUAGGAUACCUAGGUUCUGGUGGUGCCAUUUUGCCCAGGUUUUUGUUAAUUUUGUUCUUGAGCUGCCUUUUACCAAAGUGACUGUCCCAGUUACUGGCAGGCCUCCAGGAAUUCAGGCAGAGUUUGCACAAUGGAAUACAGGAGACCAUGUGCAGUUUAGGACCCUUUUGUAUGAUUUAGAAGGUAUUGGUUUGCAGGGAACUUGAGAAAGGGAAUUUUUACCUGAUUUUCCCCACUGCAUGAAGUCUCAGAGAAUGGAGAUACAGGAGGAAAAUGGAACACAGGGGAUAACAUUCAGUUUGCUUUUGCUGCGUGGCCCGUGGAGGCAAGCAGUCUUGGGCAGGUUCCUACCAAAUUAUCCCUGGGUGCAUGUAGGUCUCCAGAAAAGUAGGAAGAGCUCAGGGGACAGGACAUACCUCAUAGGUGAUGAACAUAUGAAACAUGGAAGGCACAGUUUGUGAGGGAGGGGCCCAAAUACUUGUCCCUGAUGCUUUCAGGCCUCCAGGAAUGCUACUGAACUAUAGGUUGGAAAUGGAGCUCUAGCUCAAUACAUUUUGUAAAUAAAAAAUCCAUUCAAACUAGAAAAUUUAUGAAUAUUUGUUAUCCAUUUUAAAAACAGUUUUCCCAUUAGUUUUGGUUGGGGAUCAAUAGUGAGUAACAUUUUAUUCAAUAAGUCGGGUACACUUUUAGACAUAUAUCUUUAUUGAGGUUAUCUACUUGACACUGGACUCUAGAGAACUAAUGCCUAAUUUAUCUAAAUAUACUAAUGGACAUGGAGUAACACAAGAAAUCCAAAACUAGGCCAAUCAUUCUGUAGAUUUAGUGAUGUUCAUAUCCAUUUUUGGUUCAUGCAAGGCUUAAUAUGGAGUUAAGAAUGCUGCCACAUAAGGGACCAGUUUUUCAGGAAAUACUGUAUACCUGUGGUGCAGCUUCUGAGGUGUCCAUUUUUGUGUUUGUGGUAGCAGUAAGUCAAAUAUUGACUGAUCAAUAGAAUCAUUUGGGCCAACUUAAAAAUUUACACUACAAACAUUAAUUGGACCUAAUUUUGCUAAUUUAUUUCUGCAUCAUUUUGUCUACUCCAUUAGUCUACUUGUCUGUUUCAUGUGAGUAUCAAACUGUUCAUGCUACUAUAGUUCUGUAGUAUAAUUUGAAGUGUGGUACUGUUAUACCAUAACAGUAUUUUUACUCCUUAAGAAUUCUUUGACUAUGCUUGGUCCUUUAUGGUCCCAUAUGAUAUCGUCUAUAGUUGUUUUAAACCUGUAAAUAUUGUAUCAGAAGUUUUAUAUUUAGCAUUAAAUGUGUAAAUUAAAUUUAGUUAUAUGGGUGUUGUGUUUCUUGGCUUCUGUUUCAUCUUUGCUUCUCUGGCCUGGAUGGUCAUUGAGCAGGAGAUCUCUACCCAAGAUAUUGUCUGGACUUCUGUAGACAAGGGUGGUUUCUGGUUGAGCAGAAAAUUUCUGCUCAAGUUAGAAGCUAAAAUCAAAGUGCGGAGAAUGAGCAGAGUAAUUAUAGUUUGAAAGGAUAGGCACUAAGAAAGUUGGGACACAUGCUGCUGUGGGGAGCUCUGGUGCCUAGUGUCCUGCUAAAUGUUUUUUCAUGAAAAUUCAUUGUAAUCUUUGUAUAACAACUGCUUGAACCCCAAACCAUGACAUGGUCACUGCAGGCAUUAAUAACCAAGAGCUACCAUAAUAUUAUAUAUAGGAUUCAGAACUAUUUUAAGAUGAGUUUGCCUAAAUAAAAAAGAUUUAAAUGCAAAGACAAUAUUAGUGUGAAUGAGGUUUACACUGUGUAGAUUAAGGUAACAUAUGUUUGCUAGUAUUUGCAUUUUCUUUCCUAUUUCCAGUUCUCAAAAGCCUAUGGCCCUGUGUUCACUCUGUAUUUGGGCUCACAGCCCACUGUCAUAUUGCAUGGAUAUGAAGCAGUGAAGGAAACUCUGAUUGAUCAUGGGGAGGAGUUUUCUGGUAGAGGAAGCUUUCCAAUGGUUGAAAAAGCUUUUAAAUGUUUUGGCAUUGUUUUUAGCAAUGGAAACAGAUAGAAAGAGAUAAGACAAUUCAUAAUUAUGACCCUUCAGAACUUGGGAAUGGGAAAAAGGAACAUUGAAGACCAUGUUCAAGAGGAAGCACAGUGCCUAGUGGAAGAGCUGAGGAAAACCAAGGAAUUUGAUUUAUCCCAAUGAAGAAAGUGACUGCAAGAAUUCAUCUGUUCUCAAGGUCUGAAUUAGAUGAAGAAAAUAUUGUGCAACUAUGGACCAAUGUAUGUUCAAGGUGUUUACCACAGAUUACCUGCCAGAGAACUCAAAGGACUAGCCUUGAAGGAUUUUUCAACAGGUUCCUGAAUAAAUUGCUUUAAGAAGAACGCUGUGGUGUUGCUCCUUUCUGCGGGACAGAAACAGAAGAGACAAGCGGUGGCCCGUAUGGGGAACCUCCUCCUUCGUUCAGAACUUAUUGUGGUCAGGGCGGCUAGCCGGUAAGUUCCCAGGUAAGUGGGAUGAGAAAAGCUCUCGGAUUGAGACUAUAAGGUUCCCAGUUUUGAGACAAGUCGCAAAGCUCUCAGAUUGAGACUAUAAGGUUCCCCGUUUUGGGACAAAUCUAAAAGCUCUUGGAUUGAGACUAUAAGGUUCCCCAUUUUGGGACAAGUCGCACCAAGCACAAUGGGGAACUCAACAUCAGCUCAGACAGUUUGCCAAGCCCUCAAGUAUUUGUUAAAAUUGAAAGGAAUCAGGCUAAAGAAAGAAAUAGUAGAGAAUUUUUUAAAAGCAGUGGACCAGAUUUCUCCGUGGUUUCUGGUGACAGGACAUCUUACAAUGCCCAUUUGGAAGAAAUUAGGGAAAGAUUUGAGGUUUGCCAAGGAGCAGGGGGUUUUACCAAAAGGAGUGCUGCCAGUGUGGAAAUUAGUGAAAAAUUGCAUAGGGGAUGAGGAAAGGUGUGGAGUGGAGCUCCAUAAGGUAAAUGAGGGACUAAAUCAGGUUAGGGAGGAACAUUCUCAAAAAUCAGAGACUGAAGGAAAUUCUAGUGAGGGGGAAAUGUUGGAAGAUGAUCUAGAAAGCAUCGCCAACAGCUUAGAAAAAAUGAAACUAAAGGUAGAACCAUCAGCUCCGGGACCGCAUCAUCCACCUCUUUACACUCUGCGUGGGGCAGAGGGAUGUAGCUUACACCCAGAAAUCUAGAAAGUUUUUGGCAUUACUGCAGCCAUUGUUACUGCUAUAGCAGUUUCUGCUGCCAUAGCCAUUGCUGCGGCCAAAUCACUUACCUCCGUAGUACAGACUGCAGCAGCUGUAAGUAAUUUAUCCGCAGGUGUUGCAGAAGCUUUAAAUGUUCGGGGUAGUAUUAAUAGUGAGUUGAAAGCGGGAAUUUUGCUGCUGUAUCAAAGUGUUGAUUUGCUCCAGGAACACGCAGAUAUUAUGAUGGAGUUAAUGCAAUUGGGUUGUGAGUGGAAAUAUUCAGGACUAUGUGUCACCUCCAUACCAUUUGUGAAUGUCAGUCAUGAUGCUCAGAUAUCCCGUAAUAUAUCUCAGUAUCUUACAGGAAUUUCUUUUGUAAACUUUGAUGGACUAAUUCAGGAAUUGAGACAAUCCAUCGUCCAUAUCAACUCCACUCGAGUGGACGGUCACCGUGGAAGUGGUGGGAAAGGGGAAGUUAAAGGUGUCGACCAGAGCUACUGGAUCGCAAAGUCUGCUGCAGCACGAAGAGCCCUCCACAGCCUCAAAGCUAACCAGCCUCUGGUUCCUAACAGCUGAACCUUCCAGACUCACAGGUGGCAGGGCAGUGGACAAGAACCAUGGCAGCACACCACAAAGGAUAAUUCAAACGGACACAUAGCAUGUCCUUAGCUGGAGGACUGGUCAAUUAGAUUGCCGCUGUUGCCUCACGGCUGAAAGAAUGGGCUGGACUUGCUGGACUUGCCCUAUGCCUGAUUCUUAUUAGUGUCCUGGCCUUUUGGUGCAUGUGCUGUAUACAUUUUCAUCAGCGCAGGACUCAAGCCUUAAUGAUACAGGCUUUUGCAGUGGUGGAGAUGGGACAGUCUCCUCAAGUGUGGCUUGGCAUGCUAGAGAAGUAGUCAAUGACAGGUAGGACUCCCUGGGCAUUUCACCAACCAAGGGAAGGGAUCAAACCUAAGCUGUUUGUCUCCCGAUGAUGGGUAUGGGCAUUGCUGCAGGGGGCAACCUAAGACAGGCAUUCUCUCUGCCAAAAACAUGAAGAAGGGGGAGAUGUGGG
rnacentral:sRNA from 1 species